AUGGAGCAGCAGAAUCUAUCUAAUUAGGUCAUAAUGGUGAUUAUCUUAGGUCCCAAUGGAGCAGCAGGAUCUAUCUUAGGUGUGUACCUGAGCGCGAGGAGCGCAGGGGAAGAGCCGACUGACUUCAUGGUCUCCAGCGUGCUCACUACAUGCGCAGGCCUGCUGGGCCUUGACCUUGGGCGUGCUUUGCAUGCUGUUGCUGUAGACUCUUGCAUCGAUGCAAACAUUUGUGUUGCAAGCGCAUUGGUUGACAUGUACGACAAGUGCCGGGGUGUUGAAGAUGUUGAACAUGUCUUUUUGGAUAUGCCACAGCGGAAUCUUGUCACAUGGAACGCGAUGAUUGGAGGGUAUGCCAACAUCGGUGAUGCUAUAAACUCACUUGCGGUGUUCAGUGAUAUGAUAGCGAGUGGAGAGACAGCACCUAACUACAUCACACUUGUAAAUGUGAUCACAGCAUGCAGUAGAAGAGGUUUGACCAAGGAAGGCUAUGAGUUGUUUGAGACAAUGAAGGCUAAUGCGCGUAUUUGUGAGGUCUCCAUCUCCAAUUUCACUAGCUCAUGGCCGAAUUCGAUUACAAGAGGAGGGAUUGGGGAAGGGGAAAGAUACUCUCACACGCUACACGCUUGCGACGAUUACAAACUAGCCGUUUGCCAACCGCCACCCUCUCCUGUCUUCCUUCUGUGGUAUAAGUACUAG
rnacentral:rRNA from 1 species